UUUAUUGGAGAGUUUGAUCCUGGCUCAGGAUGAACGCUGGCGGCGUGCCUAAUACAUGCAAGUCGAGCGAAUGGAUUAAGAGCUUGCUCUUAUGAAGUUAGCGGCGGACGGGUGAGUAACACGUGGGUAACCUGCCCAUAAGACUGGGAUAACUCCGGGAAACCGGGGCUAAUACCGGAUAACAUUUUGAACCGCAU
rnacentral:rRNA from 1 species